UUGAAAAGAUCUUGACAUUUUCCAUAUUGAUUGACCGGAAAAAAGUUUUAAAGUAAUGAUAUGCACUAAUUUAGAUGCACUAUUGUAAAGUUCCACUGGAUGUCAUAAGGUGAAUGCCAAUUUGUAAGUCGCUCUGGAUAAGAGCGUCUGGUAAAUGACUUAAAUGUAAUGUAAAUGUAAUGAUAGACUGUCGUUUCUCUUCACUUAUUUGAACUGUUCUUGCCAUGUCACAACACAACUGAUUGACUCAAACGCAUUAAGAAGGAAAGAAAUUCCACAAAUUUACUUUUAACAAGGCCCCCCUUGUUAAUUGAAAAUCAUUCCAGGUGACCUCAUGAAGUUGGUUGAGAGAAUGCCAAGAGUGUGCAAGCUGUCAUCAACGCUACUUUGUAGAAUCUCAAAUAUAAAAAUAGAUUUUGAUAUAGCACUUUAUUUUGGUUACUACAUGAUUCCAUAUGUGUUAUUUCAUACUUUGAUGUCUUCACUGUUAAGAGCAGGUGUUCAUAAUGUUUUGUCUACUCAGUGUAAAGAGCAGGUGUUCAUAAUGUUUUGUCUACUCAGUGGAAAGAGCAGGUGUUCAUAAUGUUUUGUCUACUCAGUGUAAAGAGCAGGUGUUCAUAAUGUUUUGUCUACUCAGUGGAAAGAGCAGGUGUUCAUAAUGUUUUGUCUACUCAGUGGAAAGAGCAGGUGUUCAUAAUGUUUUGUCUACUCAGUGGAAAGAGCAGGUGUUCAUAAUGUUUUGUCUACUCAGUGGAAAGAGCAGGUGUUCAUAAUGUUUUGUCUACUCAGUGGAAAGAGCAGGUGUUCAUAAUGUUUUGUCUACUCAGUGUAAAGAGCAGGUGUUCAUAAUGUUUUGUCUACUCAGUGGAAAGAGCAGGUGUUCAUAAUGUUUUGUCUACUCAGUGUAAAGAGCAGGUGUUCAUAAUGUUUUGUCUACUCAGUGUAAAGAGCAGGUGUUCAUAAUGUUUUGUCUACUCAGUGUAAAGAGCAGGUGUUCAUAAUGUUUUGUCUACUCGGUGUAAAGAGCAGGUGUUCAUAAUGUUUUGUCUACUCAGUAGUAGCACACCAGACCAAACCACCAAGCUGGACAUCUCAUGUCAAUAUUUCACCUUUGUUGUAUUUGUUUACCGAGUUAAUUAUCUCAUUUAAUUUCCUGUAAAACCAUGUCUUUAUGAUAUGUUGUUUGUAUGGACUAGUUCAAACUGUCUUUUUCAUUUGAGAUUUGGGAUUUCUUUACAAAAUCACAUUCCAUCUAUAAGUCAAUGCUCCAGAGAUGGAUCAGGAAUGAGUGUGAUAGAUUUGAGAUUUGGGAUUUCUUUACAAAAUCACAUUCCAUCUAUAAGUCAAUGCUCCAGAGAUGGAUCAGGAAUGAGUGUGAUAGAUUUGGGAUUUCUUUAUAAAAUCACAUUCCAUCUAUAAGUCAAUGCUCCAGAGAUGGAUCAGGAAUGAGUGUGAUAGAUUUGGGAUUUCUUUAUAAAAUCACAUUCCAUCUAUAAGUCAAUGCUCCAGAGAUGGAUCAGGAAUGAGUGUGAUAGAUUUGGGAUUUCUUUACAAAAUCACAUUCCAUCUAUAAGUCAAUGCUCCAGAGAUGGAUCAGGAAUGAGUGUGAUAGAUUUGGGAUUUCUUUACAAAAUCACAUUCCAUCUAUAAGUCAAUGCUCCAGAGAUGGAUCAGGAAUGAGUGUGAUAGAUUUGGGAUUUCUUUAUAAAAUCACAUUCCAUCUAUAAGUCAAUGCUCUAGAGAUGGAUCAGGAAUGAAUGUGAUAGAUUUGAGAUUUGGGAUUUCUUUACAAAAUCACAUUCCAUCUAUAAGUCAAUGCUCCAGAGAUGGAUCAGGAAUGAAUGUGAUAGAUUUGGGAUUUCUUUACAAAAUCACAUUCCAUCUAUAAGUCAAUGCUCCAGAGAUGGAUCAGGAAUGAGUGUGAUAGAUUUGGGAUUUCUUUACAAAAUCACAUUCCAUCUAUAAGUCAAUGCUCCAGAGAUGGAUCAGGAAUGAGUGUGAUAGAUUUGGGAUUUCUUUACAAAAUCACAUUCCAUCUAUAAGUCAAUGCUCCAGAGAUGGAUCAGGAAUGAGUGUGAUAGAUUUGGGAUUUCUUUACAAAAUCACAUUCCAUCUAUAAGUCAAUGCUCCAGAGAUGGAUCAGGAAUGAGUGUGAUAGAUUUGGGAUUUCUUUACAAAAUCACAUUCCAUCUAUAAGUCAAUGCUCCAGAGAUGGAUCAGGAAUGAGUGUGAUAGAUUUGGGAUUUCUUUACAAAAUCACAUUCCAUCUAUAAGUCAAUGCUCCAGAGAUGGAUCAGGAAUGAGUGUGAUAGAUUUGGGAUUUCUUUACAAAAUCACAUUCCAUCUAUAAGUCAAUGCUCCAGAGAUGGAUCAGGAAUGAGUGUGAUAGAUCUGACGCCUAACUCUUCACCUUUCAUCACGUGUUACCAAGGUUACAUCCUUGUUUGUGAUUUCAUUUUCAAAACUUAAAUUACAAAAUGGACCACUUUUGUAUUGGACAGUAUUUUUGUAUGUUAGGAUUCUUGUUCACUUUACGGCACAUUAUUGUAUAAUAUUGAUCAUUGCUUAUUGUCGAGUGAGAUUAAUAGUUUUAUCGCACCACUUUAUGAUACAAUACUUAUUGAUUAUCUGGAUGAAAGACCAUUUUGUAAUUCACAUCAGGAUAUUUUAUAGCCUUUAUAAUUAAUUAAGAGAUUUAUUUUAUCCGAAGUGUAUUGUUAAGAAUGAACGGACCAAUGAACAAGAUCGAGUAUGUAACAAAACAUUUUUUUUUUGGUACAGAGGGGAAAGCUGUGCUCAGAACCCCACGGCCUUCACUUGCAGAGAUGUCGUUUUUCUGGUCCUGUCUUCUAUGGGAGGCAGAAACAAAUGUGAUACUCAAGUAAGUCAUUCCACGAAAGGUUAGGUUUAUGGGUGGGGUUACUGUUCCAUAAGAAACAUGAUUGGUUGGUUCGGGAACCAAGGAGAACUCCACUGGACAUUUAUUUUGUCCAGAAAACAGUUUGUUAAAAAAUAGCCACCAACUAUCUGGGUUAGAGACUGUCAUGACUUCCUCCUCGGUCAGAACUAUACCUUACAUUCCACGGUCAUGUUCGUCAGGUACCAAAACGGAAUAAAAUACACUGAAAAAGGAAGGGACUACCUGAAAUUGUCCAAUAAGAAACGCUCUUUUUUUUUUCUCCUGUUGCCAAAUGUUUUUUCCGCUACGUUUUGAAACGGUGUGCACUAAUGAAUGCGACCCUGUAGAUGGAUCAGAUGAGCUGAUUACAUUAUACUCCUGGUUCAGGUUGACUUUGUUCAGAUGUGUUACUAUUAACUCUAUUAAAUGAUGGCACUUCAA